UUUCUUUUCUUUUUUUUUUCCCCUCCUCCAGUCUUGAAGAUGGCUUAAAUCCUUUAAAGCGAUGAUGUUUGCCACAACUUUCAUCUCGCUCAAGUACUUCACUGGGUUGGGCAAACUACGUGGGCUCGUGUAUGAGGACAUGAGCAGUCUGUCUCUCUUUUGUUCUCACUUAUUUGGAGAGUCCUAAUGAGCCUUGAUUGGGCUUUAGGCUAACAGCUCUCCAAGUGAUUCAGACUUGUGGGGAACAAUUAUUUGUGAGUGCAUUAUUGCUUUAUCUUCAUUACUGCCAAAAUCUGAAGGGUACUAUUACUGUAAGCUGACUGUAAUAAGUUGCUUCUGAUUUUCUUUUAAUUAGUGAAACGUUACCUCCUGAAACGUCAGCUAAUGCCAAUUAAGAAAGCAUUGUGAGAUGUGGCUGAUGCAGUAGCACUGGAACUCCUCUCUGCCUGAAGAAAGCGAGAAAAAGAAAUAGCACAGGAUGCUUGUUCCUGAUGGGUUUGCCUUCCUUGCACUCUCUGUCAUUUAGAGCGCAGGGCUCGAGUGUGAGUGUGAGCAGGCGAUGGGGAGCAGCAGCGUGCCUUCCUCCGUGCUGAUGACAACCUUGGUUGAAGCUAUGUACCAUCACGGGGGCUGCUGGGGCUGAGACAGAAACACAAGCGUUAGUUGUCGUCGAGCGCGCUUGGCAUGGCCUGUGUGUUUUUUUUCUUACUGUUGGACAUGACAUUUGCUGUUGCCGACCUCUUGGGUCAGUAAGCAGGAGGUGAGAAGGCUUCUGGAGCUAAAUGCAGUCACGUCAGCAGCUUAAAGCAAGCCGUGUGCCCCUCGCAGGGUGGUCUCCUGGGCGCUCAGGGAACAGCAGGCCUUCCGACACGUGGCGGGGCUUAUGUAAGAGUCAGUGCAAAUAGGUAAAGCCGGCAUAAAUAAACAAACUGGCGUGCCGUUGUCAUUAUUUUUGCAGGCUAUUUGAAAGGCAAAUUAUGUUUCUAUAGUAAUUCCCUCUAUGCAGUGCAGCUCUCGUUCCUGGCUGUCAGUAACCGGUUCAUUAAGAGCUAAUAUUAAAUUUGGUAGCGGAUACGAGGAAUGGGCCCCUGAGCCACUGAUUAAAAAGCAAGGUAGGGAAGGCCAAAGCAUUUAAUUGGAAGCAUGAGAGCUGCUAAUCCUUUUGUUUUCCUCCAGCCAACAAAUUGUUGUUGCAACGGAAGGGGGAGAAGGGCUGUGCUUUUAGAGAACAGAAAAUGCUUGUGAAGAAAUCCUUCAGCUCACUCUUACAGCCCCAGUGGCUGCAGGAAAAUUCAGGGAGAAAGGACAGCUCGGACAAAACCCAAGUGCUUGGGCUGUCGUGGCACAGAAAUACGAUGGGAUGGAAAUAAGCAAAUGACAGAUAAUGCACACUGGUGGCCAUGUGCUCAACGCCACGCAAUUUUGGGUAGUGACAUUAAUGUUUGAGAAGCAUUUAGCAGCAUCUCAGGGAAGGCUCUCGUGGGCAGUAGAAAUGGCUGGCUGUGCUCUGCCUCCUGGUUCAGCAGCUCUCUGACAGCACUGUGUUUCUGUCACUGGUGUUUUUGGUGCACCUUUUAUUCAGAAGGGCCAUGAAAUACUUUCCCAGAGCUGAUGCUUGUGCAGGAGGGGAGCGCAGCCGCUUUGCUUACCCAGCCCGAGCCACCCAGCAGCUUUCUGGCAGCACCUUGGUAAAUGCCCGGUGUGGAAAAACACUCCUGCAGGGCUGGGGAUUGCCCCAGCCCCUUUGUGUUGGUGCACGGUCCUUCCCUGACUGCCUGCGUGUUGCCUGUGUCUCUUACCAGGUGGGCAUGGAUGGGACAGGGACGAGCUUCUGACUUUUGUGCCUGCUGGCAGAAUGGUGCCAGCCAGAGCCAGGCCUUUAAGCAUUAACUCCUGCAGGUGUGAAGUACUCACGGGGAGUAGCGUAAGGGGAGGAACAUGAGCAGAUGUCUGGGUAAACGAAGGGAACCUGCUCUCAAGGGACCAAGCAGGAAACAAAGGGAGCACUGACAGGGCACCCCAAAACAUGGGCUGUGGUGUUCAGGCAUGGUAUGUUGGGUAAAAACUGAGCCGUGAGCAUGGUAGGGGGAUCCAGUGAAUAGUUAAGCUACAGACUCUUAUUUAAAAAAAAAAAAAAAAAA